GCCCGGUUAGCUCAAUCGGUAGAGCGUGAGACUCUUAAUCUCAAGGUUGCGGGUAAGUUACAGUCCAACAUUCAGUUCGACAAUCUACUAACAGCCUGGAUCAGGUUCGACCCCCGCAUCGGGCU